rnacentral:lncRNA from 1 species
UCUGCGCCUGCGCAAGCUCUUCCCGGGUCCUGCUGACUGACCUAGCUGCUGGCUGAUGACAGUUUAUUCUUACCGGGGCAUCUCUCUGAGCCCGUGAGCUGUUCCUCAGUACAACUCUAGAGCCGGAAAGGAAAAGGCAAGGACUAGAUUGGAUGAGAGCGAUCCAGGUUAGGAGGCUGCAGCAGAGAAUGGGGCCUGAAGCCACUUUGGCUCUGUGUAAGACCUCCAGAAUUUUCCUAAAAUGUUGCCGUAGUUUCCUUUACAAAAUGAAAAUGACAGCACGGACAACUUAAUAAAUGUUUGUUCCC